rnacentral:tRNA from 1 species
GGGGAUUUAGCUGAGACAGAUUAGCGCCUGCCUGAAGAGCAGGAUUAGAUUGGUGCAAUUCCAAUAGUCCCCG